AACAGAGCUCGGCGUAAGUCGCCCCUCCAAAAGGUAGAGCUUCAAACGAAAUCACGAUUUUAACGUGGGCUCUUAUGGAAGAACCCGAGUUUUAAGUGUUUUUUGCAAAAUUUGGUUAACUUCACAGUCUGGGGGGGGGGGAGGAUAAUGUUACAGUUCAGAAAACGGUGCAUUUUUUGGUAUCUUUUGCGGCUUUCUCCUGCAUUUCGAACUAUUUUUAAAUAAUAAAUGAAAUAUAACUACAAGGCGCACUUUUAUUUUUUUUAUUAGUGCAGCCCCCGCAAAGUACUUUUUCGUUUGUGUUUGUUUUUUCACACUACUCCGUGGGAAGUUCCUUUUCUGUAUUCAAUACGAACUAGGAGAUAAAUUAAAUAUCACUUGACAUGCCUCAUUUUUAAGAGGAGUGUAAAAAAAUGGUGCACCGCUUCUGUCGUGGGUUCCCUCAUGUAACCAGUAAAUCCAAUCCAUAUAAACAAAAACAAUCAACCUUCCACAGUCCGCGGAGUAGUCUAGUUUGCAAAAACAAACAAACCCGAAAAAAAAAUUGCAGGGACUGCACUAAUAACCAAAAAAAAGAUGCGCCUUGUGGCUAAAUUUCAUUCAUUAUUUAAAAAUGGUUUGAAAUGCAGGACAGAGCCAAACAAGAUACCAAAAAAUGCGCCGCAUCCUGCACAUUAAUAUAUAUUUUUUCCAAACUGUGAACUUAACAAGUUCUUGCUAAAAAAGCUGAAAAUUUGGGUUCUUCCAUAAGAGCCCACGUUAAAAUCGUGAUUUCGUUUGAAAUUCCACCUUUGGGAGGGGUGACGUACGUCGAGCUCUGUUUCAGGGGUCCCAUGGCACGAUAUAGGAAGUCAUUCCUCCUUCCAUAGAGCUGCGACGAGCAGCUGUUCAUACUUUGUGGCAAUGAUAUCGGUCUUUACUUCGUAGUCUGUGGGUUACACAUUCAAUGGCUUAUACCAAGCCUCCAUUAAAUUGUUGGGUCGCAUUGCAGCACCAAGGAAACAUUCAUUCUGGACAUUGUGAUAAAGAAAGGUAAAGUUCAUCUUGUCGACAAAGUAUGUUUACUGAAUCUGGUGUAAUAUACCAUCAAAUCGUAAUCUUCCAUGCAAUGGGAAUAAAGAUCCUUAGACUUU